GACGUAGGGGGGCGAGCGUUGUCCGGAUUUAUUGGGCGUAAAGCGUGCGUAGGCGGCUGCGCAAGUCGGGUGUGAAACCCCGGGGCUCAACCCCGGAACUGCAUCCGAUACUGCGUGGCUAGAGGUAGGUAGGGGAGAUCGGAAUUCCCGGUGUAGCGGUGAAAUGCGUAGAUAUCAGGAGGAACACCUGUGGUGUAGACGGCUUUCUGGACCAUAGCUGACGCUGAGACACGAAAGCGUGGGUAGCAAACAGG
rnacentral:rRNA from 1 species